CACGUUCAUUGAACAGUUAAUAAUAAACACAAUCUGACACAUUCUUCAACAUUUUUGCCUGUUUUAUUUUUCUGUUUUUUAAGAUUAACUCAAAUGACCAGACUGAACAUCAUGAUUUUGCAAAGCCAUAAAAUGUAUCAAUAAUUUAAAAUGAAACAUUUUCUUACUCAUGAGUGUGUUCAGUACAAUGUUUUCAUCCCUUUUUAACCCUUUAACACUACAACAUUUCUUAUUACUGUUAAUGAAGAAGAAACCUUAAAUAAACCAGUUUCGAAUUUCCUCCUUUUAGUUUAUUGCACUAAGGUUAAAAUACUGUAACUAAAGGAAAGCAUUUUCCACAGAAAGUGAAAAUACAACCGGAUGGCAAGUUUAAGAAACACCUUAGAACCACUUUCUCAUUUAAUGGUUUUCUUUAUGUUUAUGACUGAUUACAUUGUAUGUAAAUUGUCACUGAAGGCAUCAAAACUGUGAAUGAACACCUAUGGAAAUAUGUAGCACACAAAAAAUAUACAUAUUCAUAUUAAUUAGAAAACAGUUUUUUAAUAGCUAAAGAAAUCGUUUACAUGGAUACAGGGUUACAGCCCUUACAUCAUGACUGGAUGAUCAUUUUUACCUAAAAGGCUCUUUACUAUGAUAAGAAAAAAGUAUUAACUCAUGAUCAGUUCUCAACAGCACUUCUGAAGAAUAUAAACAUCACAGCUGUGAUUUCCUGCAGUUAUGAUCCUGGGGGAAAAAUAGCAGACAUUUUUUACCUUUACAUUAUGCUUGCACUGAUUGGUCACAGAUGUGGCCAGUGAACCUCACAAACCAAAUUUGUACUUUCUGCCAGCUAUAACUGAGCUGAGUGGAUCCUACAUGUAUACAGGAUAUCUGGAUUUGCAACCUUCAAAUAUUGCCAUUAACUUUUAGGGAGUAAAGAAAUCAUAACAAAUCCAAUGGUGCUUAGUGAAUGUUUGUGCGUGUUUAUGGGUUGUAAGUUUUCUGUUUUUUUAUUGGACAGACAGAUCCUAGCACCUGUGGGAAAGUUACCCUCUCAGAGCUGUUAAAUGCUGCAGCAUUAUGCCUGGGUUUAGACGGCGUAUAUACUGUGUGAAAUCUAAUUUGUUAAACUGCUAUUGUAGAAAAAUAGGUGAGGUCCAAUGCAGCAUUUUCUUAUGUUAAAACUGCGCAGUCCUAAAUUCUCUUCUGUUUUCUGACCGAUAAAUUUACUGAUACUUAUAUUCUAAUAUUUCCAAUACUAAUAUUUCCAACACAUAGAGAUUCUGGACAUAUCAUAAACGUUUUUUUCUCACCACCUCAUAUGAAAUAGUUCAUCUUAGGUUUAGUGAGGUUAAUAUUGUCUGUUUUUACCCAUUUAAACAGUUUUUUUCAUUGCGUAGUGCUUUUAUAUGUUUUUUUUAAAUCCCUUCCACCAACAGUCUUGUUGUGCCUUACAAUUACAAUAAAGUUCUUCAGAAUUUCAAAGUUUAUUUAUAAUCUCAGUGGAGGGGCACACUUUGAAGCUGGCUUUAAACAAAGCACUAAUAAAACCCUUCGAUGUUCAACAACUCUAAACUUUUCGUCCUCUUUAAUUGUUUUAGUUUUUCAGUUGAUGUUUGUUGCUUGUAAGCACCUGCUUAAUAUUCAGAAAGCCUAUGAAAAGUAAACAUACUGUAAUAUCGAAUCCUAUAGCUGGCAAAAUUAGAGCCAAAGAGAAGGUUUGGAGACUUCUGUCCAUUUAAAACAGAAGGUUUUCUUUUUUGUUUAAUGCAUUAGGCCUUUAACUAUAAUAUAUACUGUACUAAGAUUUAUAGCUUUGAAUGUUAAAAGUAAAUCUGUUUUAUAGCUUACCAGAGACAGUUGUUCUUUCAUGAUGUUUGUAAAUGUGGAGAGAUAAGUAUGGCAAUUCAUAUUUCUAAAAUGUUUCCAUUUGGGAGAGAUUCUGUUUUCAUGGCAAAUUAGUUUUAGGUAUUUUUCGCAGAGAAUUAAAAUGACUUAAUAGCUAAUCCCUAAAACUAACUCACUGCAAAAAUCGAAAUAGCUUUGUAUACUUUGUUAAUGUCCUACUUUGAAGUUUUAAAGUCUCUGAACUGCAGUGGUUUGAAACAGGGAAACAGAGUUCAGAGAGAACAAGGUUCACAUGUACAUGUUUUUGAGCUUUUUAUUAUGCUUUUCCUGUUUUUGAUAUAGAUUGGAAAUGGUAGGUCAUUGAGAAAAACAUAAAAGGCCAUUAGAAAGUUUGCUACUCAGCACAGAUUAUGUUGAGUGCUGCUACAAAGUGCAGCUUUCAGGAACAACUCUAGUAAUUACCAGUUAUUUUAGAAAAUUAAAUUUGUUGUCUCUGGUUGGGCUCAUGUUGAUGAGGGUCUUUUUUAUUUAAAUUUAAGAGUCUUGGAAAUUUUUCAAAAAUUGAAAGAAAUCCUCUGAUUGUAGUGAGAAAGAAAGAAAGAAUAUUAUAUGAAAAUAUGCAUGUUUAAUAUGUAUAAUGUAUAUGUUUACUGUAUAAUUCCUUCAUCUCAAAAAGUAACACCUGAAAGACUAACAUCAACACCUUAAGCAGCUUUUAAAAUAAAAUGACAGUCAGCCAUUUUGAUGUGACCCUUCUAUGGGUAGCCAUGUCAGUGCUGCUGCCGACAAAUAACAACAGGAAGAAAAAUGUUCAUUUGUAGUGAAUGUACAGUUGCUUGCUGUUUGUAUUUUACAGAUUUCAUUGUUCUUAUUUUCAUGAAUAACUGGUUCUGAAAGCAUUUUAAAAGCUACAGUCUGACAGAAAAUGGCUGACUGUACAGCUGAAGGCUCAGAGCUCCACUCUUGGAUCUCUGUUAGAACGGAAAUGUUGAGACAAAGAGACCUAAAAGAAAACUGUUAUUUCAGACAAAACAUAUAUGAAAAAUUCUGCUUUUCUUUAUAGAACUUGCCACAGCUUUGCAUCUGAAAAAGAAAAUUCUUGAUGUUGCCAUAAAAUAAAUAAAUGAACUCAGUUUAUGUAACAUUAUUGCAUCUAACAAAUGUAAUAAAUUCAGGAUAAUAAAAAACUCCUGCAAAAGCAAAGAUGGCUUACAUGUAAAUGUAAUCUUAAAACACAGGGAAUACUCCUCAUCCAGACACACACACACACACACACACACACACACACUCUCUCUCUCUCACACACACACUGACAGGUUAAUUUAUUUCUUUUAAAACAAUUAACAGUGCUUUGUACAAUAGAUAUUAUAAUAUCAGAGCUAAAUAGAAUAUGUAAAAUUAGACAUUUAUAAAUAUAAAAAUUUGACUAAAUGUAGCGUGUGGGGAAUUUCUUUUAUUGUAUGAGUAUCAGAACCUGUUAAACAGAACAAAGAAACAAAACCAAGAGCUACAAUAAAAACAUGUAAAUCUAGAAUUAUAUGAAAACAUAAUAUAGAGAAAACAUAAAAGCAUCAUUGAGUGCAGAUUAUUCUAAAAGAUUAACUUCAAACAAACACACACAGGCAAUAUUAAUGGUACCCAGUGAUUUCAGUUUAAUUCUUCUGUUGUUGUUUUUUGUAAAAAGGAUGCGAUCAGUGUCUGUUUGUGAAUUAUAUAUUCUUAAAAUACUGGAUUAUGGUUGUGUUUUUGUGUGUUUUCUCAAUAUUUGAAAUGUUUGCAUCCUUUAGUGUAUGAACCUUUGCUUCUUUCUCGUGUGUGUUCUUUCAACAUAUUUUUUUUGCUUUAGUGUGUGUGUGUGUGUUUCAUGAUAAUCUCUGCAGGUCAGAGGAACUCCACAGCUAUUGUUACACUAAAAACGAGCUCCUGUCUUUGUUAACGCUACUGACAGAGAACAUUUUACAGUUUAAUAAAGUCCCUCCAUGCACGUUUAACGUCUAAUUCCUCAUCUUUAGAAGUUUUCCUAAGAUCUAGUGGAGAUCGUUCAAUUUCUAUCAUAGUUGUGGAAUAGUGUGUGGACAUGUACUUAAAAAAAAAUAAAACAAAGCAAAAUAGUGCAUCAUGUGCCAUUGUUUUCCUGUACCUAUCAUUGUUUGUGUGUGUAUCAUUUUUAAGACACAAGUCAUGACUUAUAGAGGAAGAAAGCUGACAGCAUUUCCAUCAAGAAAGCAGAAGAAGGACAUAAAGAGAAGGAUCAAAGGUUUUUGGUUCCGGCACAGAAGGCAGAGGAGACUUGGAUUUUUUCUAAAAAACUUUGUUUCCAUCAGCAGCUGAACCUGAGACAGUCCACUUUGGGAUGAAUCUAUCCUCUCUGCUCACAGAACCAGUGGGAGAUGCCUAAUCUCAGUACAGAAAGAUGCAACAGUUUGCGAUUGCUGUCGCAGGCUGAUGAAACAGGACUUUAGGUAGUGUAUCAGGAAGUGGAAAAUAAGAAGUAUGAUGAAACAAAAAGUAGAAGAUCAAGACAAGGAGAAAUGGGUACAGGGUGGAGGUAGCAGGAUGAGUGAGAUAAGAGCAAACGCCUUACUUCUACGAGCACCACCUGAAACCAGGAAAGUCAAUUUUGAGCAAGAACCAUAUGCCCCCCUGAUGUCACAUCUCAGGAAGGAAAGAAAGAAGCACAGGGAGAAAUGGCCUGCAUCUAAUCAUGCUGCGCAGCUGCACACUCAGCUCUGACUCCUCAGGCUGGACUAAACACACACAGAGCAGGUGAAAUAGCUGGGACAUCGCUGUUCUCUGUCGGAUAAAAAGUGACGGAAGCUGUUUGGCAGCCAGAUUGUGACACUGAUCUGAAGGUGGACUCCCUUUAAGUCUUAUAGCUCCUUCCUCUGGGAUCCCCCAGCCUUGUGUCGUAUUUUGCGAACACCAGCAUGAAGAAUUUUAGGAUGCAGAUCCAUUUUCAUACUCUCACCCCUCUGCAGAGUACACUGCAGGCUUUGCUUGGAGCCCCAGAGCCUUGGUAUGCCUGUAGUUUGUGUUUGAUUUGCCCGUGUGGGUCGAUGGAUGGGGAGAAAGACGGGGAGCAUGGCGGCUUACAAGCGGAUCGGGUGAACUGUGGAGGGUAAUGCAAAAAAAAAAUGAACAGUUUCACAGUUCUGGACAUUUUUCUGUAGAAAAAUAAAGUGGUGACAGCUGUUUGUUGUAAAACAUUAACUGUCUAUGAGCACGUGUGCGUGGAAAUUUUAAAAACACUGUGAAAUAAAAGCGAUGGAAAUUUACAA